GAUGAAGAACGUAGCGAAAUGCGAUAAGUAAUGUGAAUUGCAGAAUUCAGUGAAUCAUCGAAUCUUUGAACGCACAUUGCGCCCGCCAGCACUCUGGCGGGCAUGCCUGUUCGAGCGUCAUUUCGACCAUCAGGCCCUCCGGGCUUGUGUUGGGGCUCCCUGCGGCUGUCCGCAGGCCCUGAAAACCAGUGGCGGGCUUGCAAAGUCACACCGAGCGCAGUAGAUUUUUUUCAUCUCGCUCAGGGCGUGCGUGCGGGCGCCGGCCGUAAAAGACGAGAGCGCGGCCUCGGCCGCCCACAAAUACCACAAGGUUGACCUCGGAUCAGGUAGGAAUACCCGCUGAACUUAAGCAUAUCAAUAAGCGGAGGA
rnacentral:misc_RNA from 1 species